CCCUUAGAUGUCCUGGGCCGCACGCGCGUUACACUGAUGCAUUCAACGAGCUUAUAACCUUGGCCGAGAGGCCUGGGCAAUCUUGUUAACGUGCAUCGUGAUAGGGAUAGAUUAUUGAAAUUAUUAAUCUUGAACGAGGAAUUCCUAGUAAACGCUGAUCAUCAAUCUGCAUUGAUUACGUCCCUGCCCUUUGUACACACCGCCCGUCGCACCUACCGAUUGGAUGGUCCGGUGAAGCCUCGGGAUUGUGGUUCUUGCCGCUUUAUUGUGGCGUGACCGCGAGAACUUGUCUAAACCUUAUCAUCUAGAGGAAGGUGAAGUCGUAACA
rnacentral:rRNA from 1 species